rnacentral:rRNA from 1 species
GACGAACGCUGGCGGCGUGCUUAACACAUGCAAGUCGAACGAUGAAGCCUUAGCUUGCUUUGGUGGAUUAGUGGCGAACGGGUGAGUAACACGUGAGCAACGUGCCCAGGACUCUGGAAUAACCGCGGGAAACCGUGGCUAAUACCGGAUAGGUGCCGAGGCCGCAUGGUCUUCGGUUGGAAAGUUUUUGCGGUUCUGGAUCGGCUCACGGCCUAUCAGCUUGUUGGUGGGGUAAUGGCCUACCAAGGCGACGACGGGUAGCCGGCCUGAGAGGGUGACCGGCCACACUGGGACUGAGACACGGCCCAGACUCCUACGGGAGGCAGCAGUGGGGAAUAUUGCACAAUGGGCGCAAGCCUGAUGCAGCAACGCCGCGUGGGGGAUGAUGGCCUUCGGGUUGUAAACCUCUUUUAGUAGGGAAGAAGCGCAAGUGACGGUACCUGCAGAAAAAGCACCGGCUAACUACGUG